rnacentral:lncRNA from 12 species
CUGGCACAUCUAGGCCAUAGGGAUGUCUCUAGUGAAUGCUACUAGUAUAGUCUGCUGUAGCAGGGAUCACUUGGUGUCAGAUGAAAGCCAGACAUGCACAGCUGUCCUGUCUUCAGCAGUGGUUAACAGUGGCUGUUCUCAUCAAGGGAAGAGGAGGGAAAGCAUAUCUACAGAAUCCAUUUGGUUAUGA